rnacentral:rRNA from 1 species
UCAGGACGAACGGCUGGCCGGCGUGCCUAACACAUGCAAGUCGGAGCGAUGAAAGAGAAGGUGGCGUUCUUGGGACCAAACCAUUUCUGGAUUAGCGGCCGACGGGGUGAGUAACACGUGAGCACCUGCCCUAUCACAUCGGGAUAGCCUCGGGAAACUGGGAUUAAUACCGAAUGAAACAUAUUGGUAACCUUAUCGAAAUGUCAAAGAUUUAUCGGUGAUAGAUGGGCUCGCGUCUGAUUAGCUAGUUGGUGAGAUAAAAGCCCACCAAGGCAAUGAUCAGUAGCCGGCCUGAGAGGGUGAUCGGCCACAUUGGGACUGAGACACGGCCCAAACUCCUACGGGAGGCAGCAGUGGGGAAUAUUGCACAAUGGAGGGAACUCUGAUGCAGCGACGCCGCGUGAGCGAAGAAGGAAUUCGUUUCGUAAAGCUCUGUCCUAUGGGAAGAUAAUGACGGUACCAUAGAAGAAAGCCCCGGCUAACUACGUGCCAGCAGCCGCGGUAAUACGUAGGGGGCGAGCGUUGUCCGGAAUUAUUGGGCGUAAAGGGUUCGUAGGCGGUAAUACAUGUCAGAUGUGAAAUCUUGUGGCUUAACCACAUCAAGCAUCUGAAACUGUAUAACUUGAGUGGAGGAGAGGUAAGUGGAAUUCCUAGUGUAGCGGUGAAAUGCGUAGAUAUUAGGAAGAAUACCAGUAGCGAAGGCGACUUACUGGCCUCUAACUGACGCUGAUGAACGAAAGCGUGGGUAGCAAACAGGAUUAGAUACCCUGGUAGUCCACGCCGUAAACGAUGAGUGCUAGGUGUCGGGAGUCAAAUCUCGGUGCCGUAGUAACGCAAUAA